GCAGAAGUAACUGGAGAUCUAGGACAUCAACCAACACUGACAUCAAGGCAGCUUCAACAAUUGAGAGGCAAGAAGCUCAUUCAAACAAGGUCUAGGGCUGCUAAGUUGAGCCAGGAAAGCACCACUGCAAAUCAAUCCAGUUGAUGAAGCUAUGAUUUUGUUGAUGACUGUAUUGUAAUAGACUGCAUUAUGCUAAAAUUUUAAGCAGCUAUAGACUGCACCUGUAUUUUGAUAAGGAUUUUUAGGUAGCCAUAGACUGCAUUUCGCUGCUGCUAUUCUGUAUUGUUAGAUUUGGUGUCUGUUUUGCUGCUGCUACAAUGACAACAAACAGCUGUUUUGUUAACUCAUUUUGUGACUUUAUGCAACAAAUGCAUAUAUGAUGUUUUGGUGAUCUAUGAGUUGUACAAGUUGAUAGUAUGUGUGUUUGCCAGGAAAUGAAAUACUUUGGUUGGUGACAAGGAAACUUAGUACUGUUGUGUGUCUAUUGUUGAUUGCCAAUUUCUGAAGUUUAUGUAGUAUGAAGUUUACUUCCCAAUAUAAAAACAGCGCUUCUUUAGAAACAAUAAUUGAUAAGUAACAACAACAUAUACAUAUUGAGAUGAGAAUACUACAAAAUAUUGAAAUGACAAAACUACAAAAGGCUUACAUUCAAAUCAAAGGUCCAUUGUAAACAUACAAAAUAAAACCUACAAGCAACAUCUACAUUCAUAUUGAGAUGACAAAACUAGAUUCACAAUGGCAACCUCAUUGCAUCUUCUUUCAAUGAGAUUCCUGGAUACCCACAAGCAACAAGAAUAAUACAUAUCCCCAAUAUAAUGAACCAAAGUACAUUUUCCCUAGCCUUUGACUUAGAUAAUUUACUCUUCCACUUCUUUUCCUUCUCUUUCAUCUUCUCCAUAUUGUCACACCCCUUUUUACAAACUUCACUAACCCUCUUAAAUUAAUAAAAAGAUUUAGUAAAACUUGAAAAAGGUUUUCAAUCCGAAAAGUGACAAAAUUAUGUGUUCAAAAGGAUUAACUCAGAGUCGCCACCUGACAUUUGAUUUCAGUGUGUCAGGUCACCGUUUUUUCUAAAAAUAAUUUUUUUCCUUUCAAAACACUAUAGACUCUAAAAACUAAGUCUACACCAAAGAUUCGGGUAAGGGGGUUCAUUUGACUCGGGGAGAAGGUGUUAGGCACUCCCCAAGUCCCGUGAAAAUUACGGUUGCGUACUCGAUCUAGUUGGCUUUUAAAAUAUUAAAGUUGAGGUAAAACUAAACACAGAAAAGAAAAACAAACACACAAGAGUCUCAAGGUCGUCCCCAGCUAAUAUAAGAAAAAUGAAAAAUGAAAAUAAAAAUAAAAAUAUUAAGAGUUCUACUUUCCGCCUCCAAAUACAAAUACUUCGGGGCAUACCCCGGAUAAAAAUAUAAACAAAUCCUACAAGGCAUUCCCCGAAUAAUAAACUAAAAAAACGACCUCUCGCCUCAAAUAGAAAUGAGAUAAAACCUAAGGUUUGUCUACCCAAGUGAUGACGGGCUAAGCAUGCUUCUAACGAAAAACGAUAAAUAAAAGCAAUAAUAAAAUAUUCUAAAUCUAAAUUGUCAUUCACAUUUAAUCCCGAAUCCCUCUAUCAACUCUUGAAAUUCAUCAACCAUUUCCAAAUCCCUACGGCCUACUUAUUUCUUAAAAAAUGAUUUAAAUCCAAGUCUUACUUUUAAUUUGGAGUCUCAUCUAAGGUUGAAUUAGAUUUAAAAAACUAAAUCUCGUCUCUUCUUCCAAGCCAACAUGGGGUUACUGGCAGAAUAGUCAAACCAAAGGAACAAGAAUAAGAUAGCAAAUCAACUUUAACCCAUUCAAGACAUAGAGCAUCACAAAAUAACAUAAAUCAGGCAACAAAUCAAACCUUAAUUCAUCCCAAAGUAUAGAGUAAGAUAGAAAAGAGAAUAGACCUUUAAUGGGCUUUUUCCAAUAAUAGAAUCUCCCAGAAUCUGGCGACGAGAACUCGACCGGAGCAGUGAACAAUGAUAGAAAAUGGAACGGCGACCGGAAAACCUCUUGACCGCACCUCAAUCGGAUUCAAACCCAACUCCAACACUUAAAGAAAAAUUCAUUCUCAAGCUCCAAGCUCUGGAAUCGGAAAAUGAACAGAUUCUUUUCAACUCGAUUUUCUCUUCUUUUUUUU
rnacentral:lncRNA from 1 species